CAGAAAGAACGGGGGUGGGGGAAGGAAGGAAAGCACGCUUCGCCAGGAUCCAGCUGUUUUCUAACAAACCUAAGCCUACGGAAGCUAGGAAGAUAUCGGAAGCAAGGAAGAUAUCGGAAGCGACGGCAUCCCUCAAAUUCGAGAGGGCGGAUGCCUCUAGGGCUAGAGAGGCUCCCUAGCCCUCAGUUACAGAGCGACUGGGAGGGGACAAAAUGGAGUUGAGGUUUAGGGGCACCCUAAAGGUCGUUUGGAGGUCUAGCAAGCACUUCAUGGUCUCCUCCGGAAAGGGCCGUGGCAAAGCCUAGUACCCCGAUCAGGAAGAUGACUUCUGGCCCUCGGGAUGCGGUGAGCGGCAGGAAGAGGCAGGCUGGGGUUCCGAGGACCCCAGAGUCCAUCACAGGAGCAGAUACAGUGACCUCGGGAAUCUUCCCGGCCCCAGCGGAGGCGAGCGGAUAGAUAGCCCUGGCUCAAGGAAAAAAGCGAGCCGACUCCAGGAGCUGGAAUGCCCACCCAACCUCCUCCCGGCUCAGGUGAGGUACGCCAGUCCCCCUCUGGAAAUGGGGCCCUGGUACCGACAGGGCAGGGGUGCCGGGGCCGCAACCUCCCCAUCCAGGGAUACUCACCGGAGGGGCGGCCCACCGCGUCUUCGCAGCCGGCCGGCGCCUGGCACUCGGAAAGCUCGCAAAAAGGAACCGCGUGCCCGCUAGCGCUGGGACGAGGAGGAGCGCGCGGCGGAGGCCAGAGAAAAAGCCGCAGCGGCGCGCGCGCACCCGGACAGCCGGCGGAGGCGGGACUCAGCGCGAGCCCGGAAAAGACGCGCCCGGAGGGGCGGGCGGAGCGGGG
rnacentral:lncRNA from 1 species